AAAACAAACAAAAAAGAACAGAACACUUCAGGAGGAGGAAAAUAUACCAAGGUCUGGAGGCAAAAGAGAGCAUGAGGGUGUUUGCUCUUGCUUUUCUAGUUCUUUUAAUGGUGAUGUUAGGGCAUGCUGCUAUAAAGACACAUGCACACGUAUUCUGUUCAUUUCUUACAAAUAUGCAUGGUCUUUGAUCAGAGCUCUAGGCUAUAAUCUAUAAUUAACCUA
rnacentral:lncRNA from 10 species